UACGUAGGGGGCAAGCGUUGUCCGGAAUCAUUGGGCGUAAAGAGCGCGUAGGCGGCCCUGUAAGUCCGCUGUGAAAGUCAAGGGCUCAACCCUUGAAUGCCGGUGGAUACUGCAGGGCUAGAGUCCGGAAGAGGCGAGUGGAAUUCCUGGUGUAGCGGUGAAAUGCGCAGAUAUCAGGAGGAACACCGAUGGCGAAGGCAGCUCGCUGGGACGGUACUGACGCUGAGGCGCGAAAGGCGUGGGGAGCAAACAGG
rnacentral:rRNA from 1 species